rnacentral:rRNA from 1 species
UACGUAGGGUGCGAGCGUUGUCCGGAAUUAUUGGGCGUAAAGAGCUCGUAGGCGGUUUGUCGCGUCUGCUGUGAAAACUGGAGGCUCAACCUCCAGCCUGCAGUGGGUACGGGCAAACUAGAGUGCGGUAGGGGAGAUUGGAAUUCCUGGUGUAGCGGUGGAAUGCGCAGAUAUCAGGAGGAACACCUAUGGCGAAGGCAGCUCUCUGGGACGGUACUGACGCUGAGACGCGAAAGCGUGGGGAGCGAACAGG